rnacentral:rRNA from 1 species
AUGAGAGGGAUAUCGGUUAUCCUCAAACCCAGGGGGCUGUUGCAUGUACACAUCCUCAGACAGGAAUCCAUGAAGAAAGGCAUUACUAACAUCAACAUGUCCAAGAAACCAACCUCGCGAGACAGCAAGGGAGAGCACAAGACGUAUGGUUGUCGGCUUCAGAAUCGGACUGAACGUGUCAGCGUAGUCUAUACGAUACUGCUAGGUGAAACCACGGGCAACCAGGCGAGCCUUUUACUUAUCAAUAGACUCGUCAGGACGGUGCUUCGUUUUAAAAAUCCAUUUGCUGCCCACAAUGUUAACACCAGGUGGACGAGGAACAAGAACCCAUGUGUUGGUACGACGAAGAGCUGCAAACUCAUCGGUCAUCGCCGCGCGCCAGGCAGUUUCGCGGAGAGCCUUGUGAUGAGACACUGGAGUGGCAAGAAAAGCAUGCCUGCGGGGAUCAUAGCGCACCGUGCCAUCGGUGAGCUGCUUGUCGCGACGAGUAUGUUCGCGGGUACGGGUUACCAUCGGGGUGCCCUUGUACCGUUGGCAGCAAUGGUGGUAUCGGGGGUGAAGCAACUGAAGGUGUCGCGACCGGGGACGACAGUGGUGUCCCGGCAUCAAGCGACACGGGCUGAUCCAAGUGACGAUGUUUGCGCUCAGCAAUACCAUUUUGCUAAGAUUUGUGUGGGCAAGACAUGCGAUGAGAAAUCCCCGUACACUGAAAAUAGCAAUGUAACUUGUGAUACUCGCCGCCCCAGUCCAACAGAAUGA